rnacentral:rRNA from 1 species
GAUGAACGCUGGCGGCGUGCCUAAUACAUGCAAGUCGAGCGAACGGACGAGAAGCUUGCUUCUCUGAUGUUAGCGGCGGACGGGUGAGUAACACGUGGAUAACCUACCUAUAAGACUGGGAUAACUUCGGGAAACCGGAGCUAAUACCGGAUAAUAUUUUGAACCGCAUGGUUCAAAAGUAAAAGACGGUCUUGCUGUCACUUAUAGAUGGAUCCGCGCUGCAUUAGCUAGUUGGUAAGGUAACGGCUUACCAAGGCAACGAUGCAUAGCCGACCUGAGAGGGUGAUCGGCCACACUGGAACUGAGACACGGUCCAGACUCCUACGGGAGGCAGCAGUAGGGAAUCUUCCGCAAUGGGCGAAAGCCUGACGGAGCAACGCCGCGUGAGUGAUGAAGGUCUUCGGAUCGUAAAACUCUGUUAUUAGGGAAGAAUAUAUGUGUAAGUAACUGUGCACAUCUUGACGGUACCUAAUCAGAAAGCCACGGCUAACUACGUGCCAGCAGCCGCGGUAAUACGUAGGUGGCAAGCGUUAUCCGGAAUUAUUGGGCGUAAGCGCGCGUAGGCGGUUUUUUAAGUCUGAUGUGAAAGCCCACGGCUCAACCGUGGAGGGUCAUUGGAAACUGGAAAACUUGAGUGCAGAAGAGGAAAGUGGAAUUCCAUGUGUAGCGGUGAAAUGCGCAGAGAUAUGGAGGAACACCAGUGGCGAAGGCGACUUUCUGGUCUGUAACUGACGCUGAUGUGCGGAAGCGUGGGGAUCAAACAGGAUUAGAUACCCUGGUAGUCCACGCCGUAAACGAUGAGUGCUAAGUGUUAGGGGGUUUCCGCCCCUUAGUGCUGCAGCUAACGCAUUAAGCACUCCGCCUGGGGAGUACGACCGCAAGGUUGAAACUCAAAGGAAUUGACGGGGACCCGCACAAGCGGUGGAGCAUGUGGUUUAAUUCGAAGCAACGCGAAGAACCUUACCAAAUCUUGACAUCCUUUGACAACUCUAGAGAUAGAGCCUUCCCCUUCGGGGGACAAAGUGACAGGUGGUGCAUGGUUGUCGUCAGCUCGUGUCGUGAGAUGUUGGGUUAAGUCCCGCAACGAGCGCAACCCUUAAGCUUAGUUGCCAUCAUUAAGUUGGGCACUCUAAGUUGACUGCCGGUGACAAACCGGAGGAAGGUGGGGAUGACGUCAAAUCAUCAUGCCCCUUAUGAUUUGGGCUACACACGUGCUACAAUGGACAAUACAAAGGGCAGCGAAACCGCGAGGUCAAGCAAAUCCCAUAAAGUUGUUCUCAGUUCGGAUUGUAGUCUGCAACUCGACUACAUGAAGCUGGAAUCGCUAGUAAUCGUAGAUCAGCAUGCUACGGUGAAUACGUUCCCGGGUCU